rnacentral:RNase_P_RNA from 1 species
GAAGUUGACUAAACAGUCGCUGUUUAGUUUUUAAACUAAAGAGAGGAAAGUCCGGGCUCCAUAGAGCAAGGUGCCAGGUAACACCUGGAAAGCGUGAGCUUAUGACAAGUGCAACAGAAAAAAAACCACCUUGUUUUCUUUUUUUAAGUAAUAAGGAAAGGGUGAAAAGGUGUGGUAAGAGCACACCGCAUAAUUGGCAACAAUUUAUGGCAAGGUAAACUCCACCUGGAGCAAAGUCAAAUAUAGGUUAUUUGUAUUGCUCGUACUUAAAAAAAACCUGGGUAGGCUGCUUGAAUUAGUAAGUGAUUACUAAUCUAGAUGAAUGACUGUUAAAACAGAACCCGGCUUAUAGGUCAACUUCUUAA